AUUCUCUCUCGUCUGCCACCAUGAAAGAUGUGCGUUUCACGUUCCACUAUGAUUGUGAGGCCUCCCCAGCUGCAUGGAACUAGACAAGGUCUCGCUAUGUUGCCAAGUUUGGCCUUGAACUCCUGGCCUCAAGCAAUCUUCCCACCUUGGCCUCCUGAGUUGCUGGGAUUUCAGUUAACUUAUCAAAACAGUAAUGCUAUGUCAUAAUAUCACAUAGUUUUGAAACCGUUUUCAGUGGGAAGUGCUUUGUAGAUUUCUUCUCAUUCAUUCUUUUGCUAUCUGUAUUUUUAAUAUAUUAUUUAUAAAUUUGAUCUUGUUUGUUCCUAUGUCAUCUCUAUUGUAGGACUUACCAUCAUAUAAUCUAGUAGUAAGUUUUAUGAGAGCUCUCCGUGCCCCAUAGUCUCAUUGAACCAACCAUCUCUGUUUCUUCAGCACCUCAUGGAGCUGAAUGUUUCUUUUUACACUGUGAAUAAAGGGACAGGUGAGUUGUUGGAAUGUUCUCUGAUUUUGGGGAAUGGAGAAUCUGGGUUCAUACAGUGAAGGCUUUCGUGACAGCCUGGUCUGCUUACUGAAAGCUUCAGCUUUCUUUUAAUGCUUAGUGUAUAGAUGUGAUAAAAUCACUCACAGAAACAAUGAUUCGUCUUCCUAGACACAUCUGUAGGAGUUCCUUGAAGGACAGUGGAUCUAGUCCUAAAUACUUUAUAUUCACCCCUUCAAUGAGUAAUCAACUUCACUCCAUCCAGAAGUUGGGUAGUUAGGAACUUGAAAACAAUCUAAGAAACUUUUGCAAUUUCAGGCUUAAAUGAUAGUGUAUGUAAAUGUACAUGUUUCUGUCACAUCAUAGAAAUUAAAUCCAGGAGCCAAAGAAGCCUUUGUUAAUUUUCCUAGAAAGAGAAGCAAGGGGAAAAAAAGGGCGAGUCUAUCCAGAAAACCGCUAAGUGAUCUGUGGCUAGCAGGGCAUCCCACAAUUAUAAACAUUUUUUUGAAAUUAUCUAGGCAGUAUCAUAGGUCUUAUUUCAUAACAUCUCAAACUAAUAUCAAAGAGAAAAAAAAACUUCUAACUUAUUCCUUUGAAAUAUAAUUGAUGGCCAUAAGUCCCAGUAGGCUUACCAGAUUCUUCCUUGGGAGCAGGAAGUAAAUAUGACAACAGACCAAGACUAAAGUGAUACCAACAUGGAACUUCAGUCUGUUCAAAUAGGAAGAUGGGCCAGGACCCAUCUUAGAGUUGUGGUGUCCAGUAUGGUAGCCAUGAACUCCAUUUGGCUCUUUAAAUUAAUGAAAAUGAUAAAUAAUUUAAAAACUGGUUUCUCCCUCACACCAGCCACAGUUCAAGUGGUCAGUAGCCACAUGUGGCUGGUGGACAUCAUAUUGGAGAGUGCAGAUUAUUAUACAAUGUUGUAUGUACGCAUUAUUGUCAUCGUGGAAAGUUCUUUUGGACAGGACUGGCUUACAGUCAGAGCUUUCACUGUUAGAAAGUGACCAGUCUAACUGAUUAGAAAGCAAGGGGUCACUAGCAGCAUUGGUUAGUUAGAUUGAAGGUCAAUAACUACAGUUUAGCUAGGUUUAGAAAUACAAGCAGAACAUGAUCUGGAUAAUAACUCUUUGCUGCUUAAUUGCUAACCAAAAACAGCCAGAUAGUGACCGUUUUGGAGGUGAAGGGGAUGGGAGAUUAGAUUGGCUUGUCUUUCAUAUGAAACCACUCUUGACUUUGAUGUGAAGUUUAAAGAUUUGAUCCCUUCCUAGGUCUUCUGCAUCCUAUUUUAAUAUGCUACCACUUACUUUAGAAAUUCUCAUAUCUGGAUUUUAUGAUGAUUGGUCUGGUGCUCCACAGACCUCACCAGAAACUUUAACGCUACGUGCCUUGGGCUUUCUUGCUGGAAAAUAUCCUGUGUAGAACACUCUGUCUGCCUCUAGGUAAGUGUCAUUUUCGGGGAGGGAAUCUCCCUGAGGACUUCUGCCAUUUCAGAUGAGAAAGCCCAGAAUUAUUCUUACAGCAUAAGAUGCCACAUAGUGGUUAUGAUAUGAAUAUAAGAAAUGACUUAGAGGAGAUGCGGGGGGGGUGCUGCUGCAAAUAUACAUUCAAUUGCUUGAGUAAAAAUCAAGGCAAGAAAGGUGGGCUUAAAUUAUAGAAAGGAAAAUGUGGGGUGGAUUUCUGAAAAAUGUGAGUGGCUUGUAGGAUUUCGCCGUGGGAAGUUUUUAAUCAGAAAAAUUGAAUACUUGAUGAACAUCUCUUACCUGGUCAAUUGCAACUAUCUUCCAAAUAGACUUUUUGUCAUUAGCAUUCACCAUGACUGCCUCUUCCCCACCUCACACACACACAACAGAUAUGUCCAUGUUCUAAUCCUUGGAAGGUGUGAAUGUGACCUUAUUUGGAAAAGAUGUUUUGCACAUAUAAUUAAGCUCAGAAUGCUGAGAUGAGAUCAUCCUGAAUUACUUGAGUGGGCCCUAAAUCCAAUGGCAAGUGUCCCUGUAAGAAACAGAAGAGGAGAAGACACGCAUAGGAGAAAAGGUGAGGUGAAGAUGAGGGCAGAGAUUGGCAUAAUGUGGCCAUGAGCCAAAGAAACUGGCAACCUCCAGAAGCUGGAAGAGACAGACGAUGGAUUCUUCCCUAUGUGUCCCUGCUAGCACCUUGAUUUCAGACUUCUGGCUCAGAUCUUUGGCUUCCAGAACUGUGAGAAAAUAAAUUUCUGUUGUAUUAAGCCACCAAGUUCAUGGGAAUUUGCUAUGGCAGCCAUGAGGCAUAAAUACAGAUACCCUCUGAUAUAUCCUCCAAGUCACUUCUAGAAUGACCCAUUUAAGACAUAAACAUUAUGCACAGCAUAAAGUCCAAGUCUCUUAGGAGAGCUUCCAAGGACCCCUUGAUCUGGCCUCUGGCUUCUUCUCUCAGUACACAGCUCUCCGGCACCCCCAUAACAUUUAAUAAGACUAGAGUCUCUUAUUACCUGGAUAUACUGUCUGUUUUACCCCACCGUAUCUUUGAACUUGCAGUUCUCAUCGUCUGUGAUGUCCUUUUGAGGCUUGUUCAUCCAUGGUAACUUUUUUUUUUUUUUGGAGAUGGAGUCUUGCUCUGUUGCCCAGGCUGGAGCGCAAUGGUGUGAUCUCAGCUCACUGGAACCUCUGCCUCCUGGGUUCAAGCGAUUCUUUGCUUCAGCCUCCUGAGUAGCUGGGACUAGAGGCACGUGCCACCACACCCAGCUAAUUUUUGUAUUUUUAGUAGAGAUGGGGUUUUGCCAUAUUGGCCAGGCUGGUCUGGAACUCCUGACCUUGUGAUUUGCCCGCCUCAGCUUCCCAAAGUGCUGGGAUUACAGGCGUGAGCCACCGCGCCCGGCCCAUGGUAACUCUUGAUCAUCUUUCAGUGUCCCACUCAGUGUCCCCUGUCUGUGAAGACAUGUUAGCCGACUUCCCUCUCUCACCCCCUUUUUCUCUGUGUCAUCUCUACAUCUUGAGUAUGUUCAUUAUGACACAGUGCUUUCUUACAUCCAUCCAUUCAACAACUUAGAACAUUAAAUUAAUUUUUAGUAGGUAAGAUGUUUAUGUUUCAAAAAUACAAUGAUAAAAACGGUAUCCAUGGAGAAGUCUUACUCCUAUCCAUUUUUUUUCUUUCUUUUCCCUACAGGUAAUCAUUAAAUUUUUUUUUUUAACUUCCACAGUUUCUUUAUGCAAAUACAUAAAUUUUCAUUAUACAAAGGCAGUGUACUACAUAUAUUGUUAUGAACUUUACUUUUUUCCAUUUUUCCAUAUCAUUACAUAAAGAUCUCCCCCAUUCCUUUUUUUUUUUUUUUUUUUUUUUUUUGAGACGGAGUCUCAUUCUCCCUGCACUCGCUGGAGUGCGGUGACGCGAUCUCAGCUCACUGCAAGCUCUGCCUCCCGGGUUCACACCAUUCUCCUGCCUCAGCCUCCCGAGUAGCCUGAACUACAGGCGCCUGCCACCAUGCCCAGCUAAUUUUUUUUUUUUUGUAUUGUUAGUAGAGACGGGGUUUCACUGUGUUAGCCAGGAUGGUCUCGAUCUCCUGACCUCGUGAUCUGCCCGCCUUGGCCUCCCAAAGUGUUGAGAUUACAGGCGUGAGCCACUGCGCCCGGCCUCCCCCAUUCCUUUUUUAUAGUUACAUAGUAUUCCAUCAUAUACAUGGUCCUAGAUAAUUUAACUAAUUCUCAAUUGUUGAACCACUGAAUUGUUUUCAUUAUUUGUUAUUAUAAAAAAUGCUUUAAUGAAAAAUUUUGUACAUGCAUUAUUUCAUAUAUAUGAAAGCAUAGGUAGAUUUCCAAAAGUUGGAUUUCUGGGCCAAAGGGCAAAUGUUACUGUCACUGUGCUAGACAUUGCCAGAUUUUCCUCCAUAAGCAUUGAACCAUUUCAUAUGAGACAGCCCAUGGGCAUACUCCGCAACACAAUAUUGUAUAUUUUGUUUUUUUGCCAAUAUGGUUGACAAGUGUCAUAGUUUUCUAUCGCUGAAUAACAAAUAAUCAUAAACUCAGCAGCUUAAAGCAACAUACAUUUAGUAUCUCACAGUUUCUGUGGUUCAGGAACCCAAGCACAACUUAGCUGCAUCCUCUUCUUAGGGUCUCAGGAGCUGCAAUCAAAAUGUGGGUUGUGACUGUGGUCUCACCUGAGGCUGAGAGUUCUCUUCCAAACUCAUGUGAUUGUUGGCAAAAGUCAGUUCCUUAUGGUUGUAAGAAUGAGGCCCUCAGCAAUGAGAAGCUGUCUGCAGUUCCUGGGCACAUGAGCCUCCCCAUAGACAGUUCACAUCACAGCAACUGGCUUCCACAAGGCUAGCAGGAAAGUCCCUUGCUAUGGUCUGUUAAAGUGGUGGAGUCUCAUACCAUGUAACCUAAUCACGGGAGUGUCAUCCCAGCACAUUUGCCAAACAACAAAACCUAGUCCAGGGGGUAACACCCUAUCACUGUUGUCAUAUUCUAUUGAUUAGAAGCAAAUCACAGGUCCUGGCCACACCAAGGAGAGGGGAUUGUACAGGCCCUAACACCAGGGGGUGGAGGUUGGCUAUCAUAAGAUUCUUCCCAUCACUGUGAGAAAAUAAAAAUCCUUUCUUUUUAUUAUGAGUAUUUUCAUAGAUUUAAUUACCACCUGUGUUUUUUCUUAGUGAACUGUCUGUUCAUAUUCUUUGUUUAUAUUUCCAUCCAACUUUUACUUUUCUUCUACAUUUCUAUGUGACAUGAAUUGCAAAUAUUUUCUUCCGUUUUGCACUUAUAUUUUUGAAUGCAAAGUUUACGAACUUACCAAUCUUUUCUUUUGACUUCUCAUUUUUGAGUCAUAGCUGUAAACGUCUCUUCCAUGCUAAGUAUAUAAAGAAAUUAAACUAUGUUGUAAUUUUUUUACAUCUAAAUCCUAAAUCCCAUUAGGAAGAUUUAUUUGAAUAUGGUAUGAUAUAUGAAUCUAACAGUGUCAUUUUUGAGAAGACUAUUUGGUUGUUCCAACAUUGUAUAUUAAAGUUCAUCUUUACCACCACAGAAUGAGUAUCACCUUUAUCAUAUACUAAAUUCCCACAUAAAGUAGAUUCUAUUUCUGGAAUUUAUCUCCUCUUCUCUAGUAUAUUUACAUAUGUCUCAAUAUGAUAUUGUUUUAAUUAUUGAAGUUUUGUUAUGUAUUCAUUGGCUUCUAAGACUUCUAUUCUGGAGAUUUCCUCAUUACUAUUACUAGUUUAUUUUCCACAUGACCUUUAGAAUUAGCUUAUCUAAUUCUAGAACAAAAUUUCUUUUUCAGUAUUCUUAUUAGUACUGUUAAAUUUAUGAAUUAGCUUAGAAAGAAUUGGCAUCUUUACCAUAUUAAGUUUUGGUGCAUUUACAAACUUGGUGUCUUUGUUUUUCAGAUAUAUACUAAUUUUUCUUCCCUCAUAUUGUUUUUGCAUAUUUAUUUUUAUUUUUAUUUUUAUUUUUGAGAUGGAGUCUCACUCUGUCACCCAGGCUGGAGUGCAGUGGCACGAUCUUGGCUCACUGCAACCUCCGCCUCCCAGGCUCAAGUGAUUCUCCUGCCUCAGCCUCCCAAGUAGCUGGGAUUACAGGCACAUGCCACCAUAUCCAGCUAAUUUUUGUAUUUUUAGUAGAGAUGGGGUUUCACCAUGUUGGCCUGGCUGGUCUUGAACUCUUGACCUCAGAUGGUCCACCUGCCUCGGCCUCCCAAAGUGCUGAGAUUACAGGUGUGAGCCACCAUGUCCGGCCACAUAUUUCUUAUUAGGUUUAUUCUUUGGUAUUUUGUGCUUUAUAGAUUUAUUGCUUUGGCCAUUAUACAUGACUCUUUUCCAUUACAUCUUCUACACGUUGUUGUUUGUAUAACGUGAAAACUAUUGCUUUCUAUAAAUUUUAUAUAUGCAUACAUUCUCACUUAGAAAACAUUUAUUGGGUCUCUAACAUAUGAUGGGCUUCUGUACUAGCGCUGAGCUCACAGUCACAAAAUAGCCAUGGUCCUUCCCCACAAUGAACAAAUGGCCUAGUAAAGAAGGCAGAAAGUAAACAUGUAAGCAAACUAAUUUAUAAUUACUAUUUGAAUAAAUGCUAUGAAGAUAAUGAGGAGUGUUCAGUCAUACAGAAUAAUUAUUUAAGUGUAUCUUCUUACCCACUUAGAGUCUUCGAGGGUUUGGUCCAUAACUUAUUUGUCUUUGGGUCCUCAGAGCCUCGCACAAUGCCCAGGAAAUAAAGCCACCAAAUAUUUAUUGAACAGAAUGGAACCAAAUUUGCUCUGAGCUCAGGGCCAAUGUUUUAAGUCCUUUAGCCACAAUGAUCAUGCAGUCCAAUUUUUCAACCAAAUUUAUAUUUUAAAUAUUGUGUUUCUAUAAAUAUAUUAUUCCAGUACUGGCCUAAGUAUUUGUUUGGAAAAUGGCCACUAGAGUUACAGCUUUCACCUAAAGUGGCCUUCCAUGUCUCUGGCCCAUGAGCAGAGUGGGCUUUUAAUCCUUAGCCUGAGUGUUUCAGAGACAAGUUAGCUGAAAGGGAUGCUCCCUUUGUAAAUUUUUGACUGAGGUGUCAAAGUUAAACUUAGGGUAUUGAGGCUAGCUGGAGCUUAUCUGUUCUUCCAGUCCAAGGUGUUAAGAUUUACAUCUUUAAUAACAGUAGGAAAGCAAGAGAAGACUGUAGUGGAAAAAAUUUUACUUUUAUGUACAGGCUUUCAUUGUUUCACUUUCCCUCUCCAAGUGUUAAUAAAAGGUAAGUAAAGAAUUUAGGGAUUAUUCUGUGAAUUUUUAUUUAUUUUUAGCCUAUGUGGCUCUGGAGCGAAUUUAGAUCAGCUUACAGGAAUAUAUAAAAUGCAGCCAAAUUAAAUACACUGGAAGAAGGUGAGAAAGAAAUGGGGCACGAAACAAAGUUGGAGACAUUUGAUAGACUUGCUGUGAGAAGGCUCAGGUUUUGGUUCUUAUCAGUUAGAAAACAUAUUGAGCAUAAGCACAAUUUAUAGUUCAAUUAAGAUUUAAAAAAAUUCCUAGUAAUGGCAAAAAUAUAUGUGGUGCUUACUCUGUCCUGGGCAUCAUUUUAAGCUUUUUAAAUGAAUUAAUUUAAUCCUUGCAACAACCUGAUGAGAUGAGUCCUAAUACUAUUCUGUCUUACAGGAGAAGAGCAACUAUUACUAAUAUUGAGAUAAGGGAGAAAACUAUUCAGAGGAUUUUCAUAAAGACGAUGCUGUGCAAUAGAAUGAGUAGCAUUCUCCAGUGUUUAUACUCUGGCACUGCAGUGAAUCUCACAUGUCUGCCUUUAUAUUAUGUAACAUAAUCCUGAAACUGUCAUCUCCUCACAUUUGCCACACAACAUAACCUAAUCAAGGAGUAAUAUCCUAUUACUGUUGUCAUAUUCUAUUGGUUGGAAGCAAGCUGCAGGUCCCAGCCACUCUCAAGGGGAGGAGAUUAUACAGGGCCUAACACUAGAGGGUGGCAUCUCUUGAUCUAAUGGCCUCAUGCCAAGCUCAGAAUGAGUCUACAGUGGCCAAUGUGAUAAACGUAGCGCUGCCAAUAUAACUUCAUUCAGAGGUAGAUUUCAGGGUACCUAGAGGAAUGUGCUAUUUGAAUAUACUUUAGUUAAUUCUCUUUCUUCUUCUUCUUCUUCUUUUUUUUUUUUUUUUUGAGACAGGGUCUUUCUCACUCAGGCUGGAGUGCAGUGGUGCAGUCACGGCUCAGUGUAGCCUUGACCUUCCAGGCUCAAGCGAUCCUCCUACCUCAGCCUCCCGAGUAGCUGGGACUACAGGCAUGCACCACCACAUCCAGCUAAUUUGAAAAAUUGUUUGUAGGGAUGAGGUCUCACUAUGUUACCCAGGGUGGUCUUGAACUCCCAAGCUCAAGUGAUCCUCUUGCCUUGGCCUCCUAAAGUGCCAGGAUUACAGGUGUGAGCCACCACUCCCAGGCCCUUUAGUCAAUUCUUUGAAAAUAUUAUAUCUUCUAAUUAAGUGACAGGUAGAAAUGGAAGUGAUGGCUUGGAGAUGGUUUCAAACUUUGAAUUAAAAAUGAUGAAUGAGAUGCUAAUGAGUAGUAGGCGGUUAUUGGCCUGUACUCACAACUAAGCAACCUUCCUUUUCCUGUUUGUGACCGUGUCAGAUGGGUGAAAUAAGGUGAAUCAGUUAGGUUAUGUUAUGCUAUGUUGUGGUAACAAAUACAUCUCUGAAGUGCAUUGAUUUUGCACCAAAAAAUGCUCGUUUUCUUCUCAUAUAAGGCCUAGUUGUGUCUAAUAGCUUUCUUUGAUUUGUAGUCAUGCCACUUAGAGCAAAUGGUCUCCAAGGUCAAUGUAGCAGAGGAAAAAAACAGCCUUGGAGAAGGCAUACCCACUCAGACCUUCCUCAAAUUGGAACUGGCAUAUUACUUCCGUUUGUGUUCCAUGGAGAAGAGUUAGUCACGUGACACCACUGCUCCAAUGCAUGGGGUUGGGAAACCUGGAGAAGUGCAUGGAUAUUUAGUGAGUGCUGGUCAUCUGUGCUGCAUAAGGACUAGGCUCUUCUUAUAUCUACUGGGAAUUUCUCUCCUGCUACCUUUCUCUUUCUUCUUAACCCUUUAGACCUCUUGCUUUAUGAAACCAUAUCCUUAUGGUACCAGAUUUCCCCUAUUCAGACAAUUCAGUCUUGACUAGAGGAGGCGUCUCUGAGGGUGGGUGAAGUGGCAGAAAAGUAGAAAGGGGAGGGAAAAGGAAAGAAAUAGUUCCUUAGUUGUCACUUCUCAUUUCUCUCCCGCUGCUGGUUUCUUUGCUGCUCCAUUUCUCACGGCCCAGCUCUUGCCGAUGGUUGCAAGUUGGAAGGAGAUUGAAGAGCGGAGAGAAUCUACUCUGCUAUUUAUACUAAGGGACCUCUGCUAUUUUUCCUCCUUCACCUCCCUUUCCUUUCGUUUUAUUUAAUGAACUCCUUUUUCUUUUUUUUUUUGACAGAGUUUUUGCUCUUGUUGCUAAGGCUGGAGUGCAAUGGUGCAAUCUCGGCUCAUUGCAACCUCCACCUCCUGGGUUCAAGCGAUUCUCCUGCCUCAGCCUCCCAGAUAGCUUGGAUUACAGGCACCCACCACCACACCUAGCUAAGUUUUUGUAUUUUUUGUACAGAUGGGAUUUCACCAUGUUGGCCGGGCUGCUCUUCAACUCCUGUCCUCAGGUGAUCCACCCGCCUUGGCCUCCCAAAGUGCUGAGAUUACAUGCAUGAGCCACCGCACCCUAAACUCCUAUUCUACAAAGACAUUUUAACAUGCUUUGUGAGCCAAACACAAGCAGGGUUUGGGUACUGAGAAAUGCAUAGUAGAAGGCAUCAGUGCUCCAAGAACUCUUGGUCACUGGUCAACACCAACAACUGUAAAGUGAUAGAGUGCAAAAUAGAAAUGUUUAAAAAGUGAACAAGUAGAUGAGUGACUUAAUGCUUGACUGAAUAGAAUGCUCAGAACUUCCACAUUGUGUGAAGAGAGGAGGAUUCAUGAGAGUGGAGGCUGGCCUUCUCAGGGUAGCACUGAGUUGGAAGGCAAGUAAAGCCAGUCAAGGGAGAUGCGGAAGUUACAAAUCUCAUUGCCCUUGUGUUAUCUCCAGUCUCUCUCUCACCUCUUUCCUAGCCCCUUGUUUGUUUCUCUCCUACCUUACAACACAGGUCCUGAUCCUACUCACAGCUCUCCCCUCACUCCUUUCCUCAGCCCUCUGGUGCUUGCACAUGGGGUAGAGAUAAAUCAUGCUUCUGCGUGGAGUUUGGGGCUUCAAAUGUGUCUGUGUAUCUGCCACCCCAAAUUGCGACUAUAAUCUGAUCCUAUUUUUUUCAUACAAAUAUUAUGAUAUAGAGUGGGAAAAUGGUAUCAUACUAUGUGUUUAGUACAUGCUAGAUCUUUAUGAUGUAAAAAUAUAUAUAUAUUUUCUGAGAUGGAGUUUCCCUCUUGUUGCCCAGGCUGGAGUGCAAUGGCACAGUCUUGGCCCACUGCAGCCUCUCCCUCCUGGGUUCAAGCAAUUCUCUUGCCUAAGCCUCCCAGGUAGCUGGGAUUACAGGCGCCUGCCACCACACCUGGCUAAUUUUUGUAUUUUUAGUAGAGGCGGGGUUUCACCAUGUUGGCCAGGCUGGUCUUGAACUCCUGACCUCAGGUGAUCGCCCGCCUUGGCCUCCCAAAGUGCUGAGAUUACAGGCAUGAGCCACUGCACCUGGCCAUGAAAACAAUUUUAUAAGGUAAUCUGGAGUCUUAAUUGCCUUUUAAUAACAUUGUUUACUUGGUAGAGAUGAUGUAAUAGAUGAUUAAAUCCCAGAGCAUUGACCUAAAUGAUCUUUGAGGCUCUUUCCAACCUGUAGAGUAUAUGAUUAUGCAGGAAUAUGUACUCUAAAUUCUGAACACAUGGUUUCAAAAUGAGUCUUUGGAACUUAGGGUAUUAUUAAUAGAAGGAUUGCCUGCAAUGUGGCAAGUUCUCAUUUCUUCAAUCUUUCUUCCUUCUUAAGUUUUCACUCAUAACUUAUUCUGUGAUGUUUCUCUACCAUUUCUGCAUGUUAACAUAGGAUUAUUCCUUAAUCCAAAAUUGCUUUUUGAUUAUAAGCAAUUCUGAAUUUCACUAGGUUAAAUAAAUAUGUCUCUAACAAGGUAGAAUGCAUUUCCCAGUGGAUGACAAGGGAAUAUUUUAUUAAUUUGCUUCUAAGUCAUUGAAAUUACUGCAUUAAAAUGUUUAGCUGAUUCUUUUACACUGAUGAAAUAAGAAAUGACUAAUUUUUUAAAUCACUUCCCUAAAUAAAGCAUACCAUCCCUAAUGCAUGUACAACUGGAAUUAAUCUCAAAGAGCAAUCAUAAGUGACAUGCAAAGAGGAUUAUGUGAUUUUCUUUCUUCUUCUUCCUUUUUUUUUUUUUUUUGAGACGGAGUCUCUCUCUGUUGCCCAGGCUGGAGUGCAGUGGCGUGAUCUCAGCUCACUGCAACCUCUGCCUCCCGGGUUCAAGCAAUUCUUCUGCUUUAGCCUCCCCAGUAGCUGGGACUGCAGGUGCGUGCCACCACACCCAGCUAAUUUUUUGUAUUUCUUUUUAGUAGAGAUGGGGUUUCACCAUGUUAGCCAGGAGGGUCUUGAUCUUCUGACCUCGUGAUCUGCCCGCCUCAGCCUCCAAAAUGCUGGGAUUACAGGCAUGAGCCACCAUGCCAGGCCGUGAUUUUCUUACAGUACUUUGUCAACAGGUAUAUUUUCCUGAAGGCAGUUACUUUUGCAUUCAAUUGCUUUUGUGUCACACAUUUUGAUUAUUAAAACAAAGACAACAACAACAGUUUGUAUACCACUUGGGCAUAAUAGUAUUGGAUAGAAUGAGACUUACAGAGGUCAUUAACAUUACCCCCUGCUUCCUUCCAGGCAAUGAGAAUUCAUCUUGUAAUUUCACCCACUCAAGGGCAUGGGCUUCACAAUCUCCUUUGGUAACUGAUUUGAAUAUCUAACAACAGUUUCUGUCAGGAUUUUUUUUUUCUCAAAAAGUACAAAACUGAAAUGCCUCUUGUCUGUUUUUUUUUUUUUUUUUUUUUGCUUUUUCAAGCUUUAAGGAAAAAGAUAAAUGGUUACAAUUCUUCAUAAACUCUUGAGUUUAUAUUUGAGCAUUUUAUUUUAUUUUAUUUUAUUUAUUUUAUUUUAUUUUAUAUUUUAUUUUAUUUUAUUUUUUGAGUGGAGUUUUGCUCUUUUUGCCCAGGCUGGAGUUCAAUGGCAUGAUCUCAGCUCACUGCAACCUCCGCCUCCCAGGUUCAAGUGAUUCUCCUGCCUCAGCCUCCUGAGUAGCUGGGAUUACAGGCAUGCACCACCACGCCCUGCUAAUUUUUGUACUUUUAGUAGAGACGAGGUUUCACCAUGCUGGCCAGGCUGGUCUCAAACUCCUGAUCUCAGGUGAUCCACCCGCCUCGGCCUCCCAAAGUGCUGGGAUUAUGGGCAUGAGCCACUGAACCCGGCCUGAGCCCUUUAUUAAACUCUUCAGACUCAGGUUGCCUUUUGUUCAUUGUUUAUCAUUUUUCUUUAAAAUGAUCCUUGAUCACUUCUUCAAGUUUCUUAGCCAGGGCUAAAUUUAUUAUUACACAUAUUUAGGAAAGAUGCUGCUCAAAGAGAUGAGUGUAGACCUUUGGGAGUAGAUAUUUUCAAAGGAGAGUCUUGGUGAAGGAAAUUUCUGAGGGACUAGGUUUUGGAAAGAGACCAUUAAUGGAGAAUAUUAAUGGCUGCUACUAAAAGGAGGGUGAGUAAUUGGUGCAGGGAAGAGAUAAGUAAAGAAGUAAAUGGACUGAAGUGGCUUAAGUUAAACAAACAAACAUAUUUUAAGUUCAAAGUCAUUCAGAAGGGGGAGUGUAUGGGAUGUGGACUUUGUACAAAAAUGAAAGCCAUUUCGACCCUUGUGAGAAAAGAGUGUAUUUAGAGGCAGAAGGCAAAAUGCACACAGCUUGUGGAUAAAUGACCCAUCUCUGGGAUGAGGAAGGCACAAGUGGUGCUCCGAGAAUCCCCCCAGUGAGCUGAAUUUAUGGUGGUGUGCAAGGCUGAGGACGUUUAUUAGUAAAUAACAAAGAUCGUGUGCUAAUGACCUGAUCACUGGUCCAUAAUCAAUCAGAGGUUGGUCUCUGUGCAUAAUUCUCCUGGGGGAUUGUUAGAAGGAAAUCAUAGCUAAGGCCAGACACUGAUUCACUGGGGGCCCCUUUGUCGUUCAUGGGGGGCAGAUAUUCUAUUUCUGUACAUGUAGAACUUCUCUUUAUUAGGGAAGCAGGAAGGAGUGACUGAAAGACGCUGUGUUUUUCUCUUGUGGUGUGGUUUCUAAAUGCAGUGUAUAUCUGAGUAGAACCAAAUUUAACUAUGAAUAUUUGGGGGAAGGUAAUGAGAUGGUACAUUAUUCCUUUAGCAAAGGUUUUGAUGAGCACAAUGUAUAAUAUAAGUAUCUCCUACUUAAGUACAAAGUAUAUUUACAAAUAUGUUUGUUUAUGUAUAAAGACAGAAUAAUAGAUUUAUAUAUUAUGAGUAGGAGGGUGAUGUGGUUCAUUUGCCAAUCUAUUAAGAAAUAUUAUAAAAUUACACAUUCUUUCAGCCUUUUAAUCUCAAUAUUUAAUAUAUUUCUUGUAUCUUGUACAUAUUAUUUAAUUGUUUUCAUACAAAACUAAAGAUGCUGUUAACUGGUUUGCAUCCAGUAAGAGGCAAUUUGAGGCUAAAUACAUUCUGCUUUCUUCAUAUAAAGUGAGUCUUAUGUUUAUUUCAUCAUACUUCGAAUUGAGGUGGCCUAUGCCUUUUGUCUUUAGUGUUGGAACUCUUGUUUUAUGUUUCCUAUUUAACUUAUAAUGUAACACAUGCAAUAAAAUAGUAUUCGAGAUGCUUUGACAAACUUGGUGUUUUGAUCGAGGUGGCGCUGUUGGUAGAACUGUUGGUAGAACCUGUUGGUGGGCAGGCACAAUGCCACUUUAUCACUGAGCAGUAGAGGCAGGAGAGUCCCUAUCUGUCACAUAAAAGCAGAUUUAGGGGGAUCAAUACAGAGUGCAUGAAAGUGAAGGUUAAGAGAAAGUACAAUACGUAAAAGUCAGGAACUGUCAAUAUGCAAAUCCUCAACUCUGGCAAAACCCCAGAUCACCCAUGAUCCAGUGUGAUGAUAAAAAUAAGCUCCUAAGUACUUUUUUUUUUUUUUAACUUUGGCAUCUUGUGCAACUCAUGAACUAGUAGUGUUUUCCUCCUUAUUAUUAUUAGUGUUAUUAUUCAGCAUUUUGCUACACCCUCCCCUUCUUUCCAACAUCUAAAUACCAGCAAAUAUGUUAUGAGAUGAAAAUGAUGACAUAGCACCUCUUUUCUGUCAGGUAGAAACAUCUACAUUCAAGGUUAUCUGAAGGUAAAAUAUUUACUAAGUUAUUUACUCUGUCUUUCUCCCAGGAGUCAAGGCAGAAUGGGGGUCUCCAACAAGAGUGGCCUGGUACAUCACCAUACGAUGGGGCCUAUGUGUGUCUCUCUUGUGUUUAGCUUCACGCAAGAUGGGGCUUGGAGGUACCUGGGGGCUUAUUUUUGUUGCGUGCCCACCAUUGAUUUUCCUUUCUAGUGUGUGUGAAAUUACAUUUCCCUGCAACUGAAAAUCUGAUUAAUAAAAGUAUGUCAUUAUCUUCCAUAACAACAAAUCCAGACAUAGCUGCUUCCAGACGGAGGGUAGCAGCUCAGUCAUGUCAGUAGGGACAGGGACUGUGUUCAUCCUUCUAGUUCAUCACCCUCAGUCUGCAGGCUUUUAGACCUACUUAAUUGUUGCAGGAUUCCUGCCGAACUGCUGCAGUAUUCUCUUUUUUUUUUGAGACGGAGUCUCACUCUGUCGCCCAGGCUCUGGAGUGCAGUGGCACGAUCUCGGCUCACUGCAAGCUCCGCCUCCCAGGUUCACGCCAUUCUCCUGCCUCAGCCUCCCGAGUAGCUGGGACUACAGGCUCCUGCCACCACGCCCGGCUAAUUUUUUUCUAUUUUUAGUAGAGACGCGGUUUCACUGUGUUAGCCAGGAUGGUCUCGAUCUCCUGACCUCGUGAUCCGCCUGCCUCAGCAUUCCAAAGUGCUGGGAUUACAGGCGUGAGCACCGCGCCUGGCCUGCUGCAGUAUUCUUGGCAUCAAGAUGGUACUCCAAGAUAAGGAGAAGAGGAGAGAAAGAGAAAUUCUCAACUGGCUUUCUUUUCUUUCAACCGGGAAGAAACAUCUCUCCCAAAAACUUCCAUUUUCAUUUCAAUGGCUAGAAACUUGUGACAUGGCAACCCCUUCUUGCAAACUGCAAAAGAGCCUGGAAAAGGAGCAUGUGAACAAACACAACAACAUAGCUGUGACCAGCCUAACCAGUUGCCCUGCACUUUGUGUGUACAUCCCUCCAGAUCUCUACCCCUGCUAGCGUGUUGGCCAGAGCAUCUUUCACUGCUCCUGCCCGGUCAGCUGGGUCCCUUGUGCUGCUGCCACAGCUGCUACUUGCCCAGUGACUUGCCACAGUGGCUGCCCCAUUGUGUUGUCCUAGACACAACUUGACAGCAUUUCCUGAACACACUCUGCUUCCCAUCUCAUGUCCUGGGAGUUCCCUGAUGUCACUAGGGUAAGUGAUGUAAACAGACCCUCACUUCCGGCCCCCUGUGUACAAUCUGGAAGUUUAGGGGAGGAGGUCAACCCAUGGGGUAGACUUUGACUAACAGAAGAUUGAAACUCAUGGAUAGCUUUGCCUUUCUGUCUGUGGCAGGACUGUCCUGGGAGCAGUGGCUGAGAGGCCAUCCCCAUAUGCAGUAGCCAGCUACACCCAUCUCCUGUAUUUUCUGCAUUUCUUUUCCAUCCUUCCCUGCUUAAUCUGUGACCUCAUUCCUGCUUUUUGGAACUAUACUCCCCAACAAAAUAGUAGCACACAAGGCCUUGCCCCAGGCUGUGUUUAAUAAAGACUCUGACUCCA